UAGGGAAUCUUCCACAAUGGACGCAAGUCUGAUGGAGCAACGCCGCGUGAGUGAAGAAGGUCUUCGGAUCGUAAAGCUCUGUUGUUGGUGAAGAAGGAUAGAGGCAGUAACUGGUCUUUAUUUGACGGUAAUCAACCAGAAAGUCACGGCUAACUACGUGCCAGCAGCCGCGGUAAUACGUAGGUGGCAAGCGUUGUCCGGAUUUAUUGGGCGUAAAGCGAGCGCAGGCGGAAUGAUAAGUCUGAUGUGAAAGCCCACGGCUCAACCGUGGAACUGCAUCGGAAACUGUCAUUCUUGAGUGCAGAAGAGGAGAGUGGAACUCCAUGUGUAGCGGUGGAAUGCGUAGAUAUAUGGAAGAACACCAGUGGCGAAGGCGGCUCUCUGGUCUGCAAACUGACGCUGAGGCUCGAAAGCAUGGGUAGCGAACAGGAUUAGAUACCCUGGUAGUCCAUGCCGUAAACGAUGAGCGCUAGG
rnacentral:rRNA from 1 species